GAAAGGAUUUAUGGGGAAACGCUGUUUCAAGUAUAUAGUAUUAAAUUUAUUUAAAAAGUGAAAAUACUUUUUUAUAGAAAAAAGACGAGAAGACCCUAAGAAUUUUUAGAAAAUUAUAAUAAUUUUUUUUCUUUUUGUUGGGGCGACAAUUAAGCAAUAAUAUUAACCUUAAUUAUUUAUUUAAUCGGUUAUUUCAGUAAAAAUUAAAUUACCUUAGGGAUAACAGCAUAAUUUUUUAAAGUUUGUGACCUCGAUGUUGGACUAGGAACUUUAUAACUAGCAGUUAAAAGAGAUUGUUCUGUUCGAACA
rnacentral:rRNA from 1 species